UACGUAGGGGGCAAGCGUUGUCCGGAUUUACUGGGCGUAAAGCGCGUGUAGGCGGCCACGCAGGUCCGUUGUGAACACUAGAGGCUCAACCUCUAGACGUCGACGGAAACCGUGUGGCUAGAGUCCGGAAGAGGAGAGUGGAAUUCCUGGUGUAGCGGUGAAAUGCGCAGAUAUCAGGAAGAACACCAAUGGCGAAGGCAGCUCUCUGGGACGGUACUGACGCUGAGACGCGAAAGCGUGGGGAGCGAACAGG
rnacentral:rRNA from 1 species